AGCCGUUUAUACAGUCCGUUUUGAAAACAGAUACUGGGUGCGCCCGAUGGUUA
rnacentral:tRNA from 1 species